rnacentral:rRNA from 1 species
UACGAGGGGGGCGAGCGUUGUUCGGAUUCACUGGGCGUAAAGGGUGCGUAGGUGGUUAGGUAAGUCCGAUGUGAAAUCUCCAGGCUCAACCUGGAAAUGGCAUUGGAUACUAUUUAGCUUGAGGAGUGGAGGGGGGACUGGAAUUCUCGGUGUAGCAGUGAAAUGCGUAGAUAUCGAGAGGAACACCAGUGGCGAAGGCGAGUCCCUGGACAGUUCCUGACACUGAGGCACGAAAGCUAGGGGAGCAAACAGG